AGGAAUGGAAGCAAGCUCCCUACUGAGCAGAUAGCCGGAUGUGAGGCUUGAUCCCAGGACCCUUGGGACCAUGACCCGAGCCAAAGAAAGAGCCCAUCUCCAUUUCUUGCCCCAUGUUCUUCCUAAAGAACACAUCGUCCUUCCUGCCGCUCAGCCAUGCUCUGAGUCUAGCCACUUAGCUUUCGCUUUUUCCUGCAUUGGUGUAAAUUAAUCAUGGAUUCAGACAGGCCUGGU
rnacentral:lncRNA from 1 species